ACGGAGUAUAUAAGGACGUCAUAUCCGGCCGACGGGCCUUUCCACGCUACCCGCGGAAGGGGCCCAUACGGCGUUGUUCUGGAUUCCCGUCGUAACUUAAAGGGAAACUUUCACGAUGUCCGGAGCCCUUGAUGUCCUGCAAAUGAAGGAGGAGGAUGUCCUCAAAUUCCUUGCAGCAGGAACCCACUUAGGUGGCACCAACCUUGAUUUCCAAA